CAUCAUGUGGGUACCUUGGGAGACAGGCACAGCUCAAUGAUCUUUCCAAGCCUCAUCUCCGGAAUAUGCAUAGCUGCUGGUAUAAACAUUGCAUCCGGGGAAGUGGCUGCCAAACCCAGCCCCAUCAUAAAGCACAGUACCUUGGAGGCUCAAGACAGAGUCAGGAUAAAGCACUGGGAAAAGCAAGAAAUUGAACGGCGCAGACAGCAGGAAGAGCAAGGUCACGAGCACGCAGAGCAAGAGAUGCCUCAAGCUCCACCACCACAGGUUGAGAUAAAUGCACAGUUGUGGCGCCAGAUUUUCACCACCACCACGGGGACCAGCCGAGACGUACAGAGUCUCCAGCAGGCUAUGGGGACUUUGACGACUGAGAUGCAUACAGCCCACCGUGACAUCCGCAUUUCCACUGAUAUGUCACGUGCUGCUCGCCAGGAUGCCCAGGCAGCUAGGAGGGAGAUGGACACUAUGAACGGUCGACUCAGUGUGUAUGUGGGCAGGGUGGAUGGCAUCCAG
rnacentral:lncRNA from 1 species